rnacentral:rRNA from 1 species
UAAGUCCCGCAACGAGCGCAACCCUUGAUCUUAGUUGCCAGCAUUUCGGAUGGGCACUCUAAGGUGACUGCCGGUGACAAACCGGAGGAAGGUGGGGAUGACGUCAAAUCAUCAUGCCCCUUAUGACCUGGGCUACACACGUACUACAAUGGCCGGUACAACGGGCUGUGAAGCCGCGAGGUGGAACGAAUCCUAAAAAGCCGGUCUCAGUUCGGAUUGCAGGCUGCAACUCGCCUGCAUGAAGUCGGAAUUGCUAGUAAUCGCGGAUCAGCAUGCCGCGGUGAAUACGUUCCCGGGUCUUGUACACACCGCCCGUCACACCACGAGAGUUUAUAACACCCGAAGUCGGUGGGGUAACCGCAAGGAGCC